CUUACCUAACCAUUGCAUUGGUUCCAAAGCCUCGAUCAUUUCAAUCUCACAUUUGCAUCUUAAUCUCUCUCUCACAUCCUUUCUCAAUCUCACGUUCUUCUAUCUUUCUAUCUCUCUGCACCUACUUCCUUAUUCCCUUUUUUCUUCCUUCUCCAUCUUCUUCUUCCUCUUCUUUACAAAUCAUAUCUGACUGAUUGUUGUUAUUCUUUCAGGAAGUAUGGAUUUGGGUUAAUUUUCUGCAAAGCCAUGUAAAAGAUGUUGAGUUCCUCGACAACAAUUAACUCUUCCAAUAUAGGAUUUCAGGUAGAUUCAUCAAAUGCAUCAAGGAACUUGAUGCAGUCGGAGGCAAUUGUGGAAGAAGCUUCAAUGAUGAACGUGACCGAACACUAAACCAAACAUGUUUUGUCAUCAUUUUGUAUUCCUUAUGCUGGGAUAAACGACUUAUAGCAUAAGCCCUUAUCAUAUGUAAUUUUUUUUUGCUUUAAGCUGACAUAAAUUAUAUUUGCUGAUAGAAAUGGAUGGGUUUGAAUCAGAGAUGAGAAUGGUUGUCAUUGCAGCAACUAACUGACGGAGGCAAACUGAAAAGGCUUUGGGUUUGAAGGUGCUGAGUAAGAACGAUUAAUGAAGGAAAUAUGGAUCUACUCUAAUUGAUGUUAUGAAGUUUGUAAAAUACCAUGGAAGUAACUUUCCAUUCAUUAUCUUAUUAGAGAUAAAGGAAUGAGUGCUUAUUCGUUGGAGCUCGCCCUCGAGAUUUAUGGAAGCAUAGGUUACCUCACUCAAGAUGAUUGUUUCAUAAUCAAGACCACGAAAAAAUCUGAACUCAAGAGUUGUUGUUUUGGUUUUUGAAGUAAAGGAACAAAUCAAAUAAAUCUUUUGGAAAUUUCUAAAGAGUUAAAUCCAAAUGAAGUCAUGGUAAGAAAUUAUCAUGAGUUUAAUGUCAAGAGGAGCAAGACCAAAUUAUUAGCAUCUGUUGCACCACAAAGCCAGUUUUAUUAUUGUUAACAGUGAACACAUUAAAAGCAUUAGGCCUUGAGAUUCACCAAUGUGUUGCAAGUAUUUUCAAUGAUUUUUCACUGCAAGCAUCUUGCUCAGAGGUUAGUGAAUUGUUUUACUGCAUGUUUAUUUAGAGCUUUCUUGUGUAUCUUUAAUUUCACUAUUUAGAAAGGUAAUUUAUUUUAAUACUUUUGAAUGUUCUCUAUUAAAAGUCAACAUGUAUGAAUUUGAAAUAUUCUUUAGUUAUGAUUAUUUGGACUCAAAUUAACAAAGGAAAAGUUCAUUCAGAAUGUGAUAUUUGGGUAAUGUUACUACCAAUUUAUUUACUACUGCUAAACUAUUACCAAGUAGCAAUUACCACAUGCUCCACCGAAACUGAAAUAAGUUGAAUAUGUGUAAUUGAAUUGGUUCUAUUCUUAUAGAAUAAUAGGAAAUAUUGAACUCUAUUCUUAUAUUGUUCAUAGCACUGCAGCUGCAAAAAGUAUAUAGUCAUGCUAGAUUAAGUCACAUAUCAAGGUCUGACAUUAGCUACUCUCUUUCACUAACCAAACAUUUACGCUUUGAUGUAUUUGUUGAGGCCGAAGCAAAAAAAAUUGCAAGUACGAUAAUGCCUAUUGUCACGCGAAGAUUUUCAUUUCAACACUUUCUAGGAUUGUGAAAGAUGCAACUUUGUAGUUCAGGUAA